rnacentral:rRNA from 1 species
AGAGUUUGAUCCUGGCUCAGGAUUAACGUUGGCGGCGUGCAUAACACAUGCAAGUUGAGCGUGGCUCUAAUUUAUUAGAGUCUAGCAGCGGACGGCUGAGUAAUGCACAGGAACGUACCUCGAAGUGGGGGAUAGCCCAUCGAAAGAUGGGGUAAUACCGCAUGUGAUCGUAAGAUCAAAGCAGCAAUGCGCUUUGAGAGCGGCCUGUGUCCUAUCAGGUAGUUGGUGGGGUAAUAGCCUACCAAGCCUAUGACGGGUAGCUGGUCUGAGAGGAUGACCAGCCAGAUCGGGACUGAGACACGGCCCGAACUCCUACGGGAGGCAGCAGUUGGGAAUUUUGCACAAUGGACGAAAGUCUGAUGCAGCGACGCCGCGUGCAGGAUGAAGGCCUUAGGGUCGUAAACUGCUUUUGGUGGGGAGCAAUUUUUGAGAGUACCCACAGAAUAAGGACCGGCUAACUCCGUGCCAGCAGCCGCGGUAAUACGGAGGGUCCAAACGUUGUCCGGAAUCACUGGGCGUAAAGAGCAUGUAGGUGGCUUUGUAAGUCAACGAUUAAAUAUCGACGCUUAACGUCGAAACUGUUGUUGAAACUGCAUGGCUAGAGGAUAGCAGGGGUAGGCGGAACUUUAGGUGUAGGGGUGAAAUCCGUAGAUAUCUAAAGGAACACCAAUGGCGAAGGCAGCUUACUAGGCUAUAUCUGACACUGAGAUGCGAAAGCGUGGGGAGCGAACGGGAUUAGAUACCCCGGUAGUCCACGCCGUAAACGAUGCCGACUAGCUCUUGGGGAGUAUCGACCCUUCCUUGGAGCGAAGCUAACGCGUUAAGUCGGCCGCCUGGGGAGUACGAGCGCAAGCUUAAAACUCAAAGGAAUUGACGGGGACCUGCACAAGCGGUGGAGCGCGUGGUUUAAUUCGUAACGAAGCGUAGAACCUUACCAAGGCUUGACAUCUCUGGAAGUCCCGAGAAACCGGGAUGUGCCGCAAGGAACCAGAUGACAGGUGCUGCACGGUCAUCGUCAGCUCGUGCUGUGAAGUGUCCCGUUCAGUCGGUUAACGAGCGCAACCCUUACCCUGUGUUAUACAUGUCACAGGGGACUGCCCCAGUUAAUGGGGAGGAAGGUGAGGACGACGUUAGAUCAGCGUGGCUCUUACGCCUUGGGCCACACACACGCUACAAUGGGAAGUAACAAUGGGUUGCCAAGCCGCGAGGCGGAGCUAAUCCCACCAAACCUUCCCCCAAUUCGGAUUGCAGGCUGCAACUCGCCUGCAUGAAGUCGGAAUCGCUAGUAACGGCCGAUCAGCUACGCGGCCGUGAAUACGUUCUCAGGUCUUGUACACACCGCCCGUCAAACCACGAAAGUCGGGGGCGCCCGAAGGGACUGUAUAGUCACUACGGCGAAUUCGAUGAUCAGGGUUAAGUCGUAACAAGGUA